UACAGAGGGCCCGAGCGUUGUUCGGAUUCAUUGGGCGUAAAGGGUGCGUAGGCGGCGGGGAAAGUCUGAUGUGAAAUCCUGGGGCUCAACCCUGGAACUGCAUUGGAUACUUCCUUGCUAGAGUACUGGAGAGGAAACUGGAAUUUACGGUGUAGCAGUGAAAUGCGUAGAGAUCGUAAGGAAGACCAGUGGCGAAGGCGAGUUUCUGGACAGUUACUGACGCUGAGGCACGAAGGCCAGGGGAGCAAACGGG
rnacentral:rRNA from 1 species